rnacentral:rRNA from 1 species
CAAUAGCGUAUAUUAAAGUUGUUGCGGUAAAAAAGCUCGUAGUUGGAUUUCUGUUGAGAGCGACCGGUCCAUACCAUGUAUGCGUAUCUGGCUUGCUCUCGGCAUCCUCUCGAUAGACGUUACUGCGCUUGAUUGCGUGGUGCGGAUCUCGGGACUUUUACUUUGAGGAAAUUAGAGUGUUCACGGCAGGCUUUCGCCAGAAUACAUUAGCAUGGAAUAAUACUAUAGGAUCUUGGUUCUAUUUUGUUGGUUUCUAGAAUUGAGAUAAUGAUUAAUAGGGACAAUUGGGGGCAUUCGUAUCAACACGUCAGAGGUGGAAUUCUUGGAUUGUGUUGCGACGAACUACUGCGAAAGCAUUUGCCAAGGGUGUUUUCAUUGA